rnacentral:lncRNA from 1 species
AGAAAGGUGCGAGGUACCUUAUGCACAUUUUCCCCCGUAGGGAUGGGGGUUCUGCUUCUUCUUCUUCUCCUUGCUCGGAGACGCGGGGAGGUGUAAGCAAGUUCAUCUCGAGGAUUUUGACUUCUUUUGAUCCGACAUGCCGCUUGGGCUUAUUCGAGCUGGGUUGUUCUUUUUCCCUUUUGGUCUCAGGAUAAACUACGCGAUUCUGCUAUGAAAUCCCCACAGACGGC